GAUGAACGCUGGCGGCGUGCCUAAUACAUGCAAGUCGAGCGAACAGACGAGGAGCUUGCUCCUCUGACGUUAGCGGCGGACGGGUGAGUAACACGUGGAUAACCUACCUAUAAGACUGGGAUAACUUCGGGAAACCGGAGCUAAUACCGGAUAAUAUAUUGAACCGCAUGGUUCAAUAGUGAAAGACGGUUUUGCUGUACUUAUAGAUGGAUCCGCGCCGCAUUAGCUAGUUGGUAAGGUAACGGCUUACCAAGGCGACGAUGCGUAGCCGACCUGAGAGGGUGAUCGGCCACACUGGAACUGAGACACGGUCCAGACUCCUACGGGAGGCAGCAGUAGGGAAUCUUCCGCAAUGGGCGAAAGCCUGACGGAGCAACGCCGCGUGAGUGAUGAAGGUCUUCGGAUCGUAAAACUCUGUUAUUAGGGAAGAGCAAAUGUGUAAGUAACUAUGCACGUCUUGACGGUACCUAAUCAGAAAGCCACGGCUAACUACGUG
rnacentral:rRNA from 1 species